AGUGAACGCUGGCGGUAGGCCUAACACAUGCAAGUCGAACGGCAGCACAGUAAGAGCUUGCUCUUACGGGUGGCGAGUGGCGGACGGGUGAGGAAUACAUCGGAAUCUACUUUUUCGUGGGGGAUAACGUAGGGAAACUUACGCUAAUACCGCAUACGACCUACGGGUGAAAGCAGGGGAUCUUCGGACCUUGCGCGAUUGAAUGAGCCGAUGUCGGAUUAGCUAGUUGGCGGGGUAAAGGCCCACCAAGGCGACGAUCCGUAGCUGGUCUGAGAGGAUGAUCGGCCGCACUGGAACUGAGACACGGUCAAGACUCCUACGAGAGGCAGCAGUGGGGAAUAUUGGACAAUGGGCGCAAGCCUGAUCCAGCCAUACCGCGUGGGUGAAGAAGGCCUUCGGGUUGUAAAGCCCUUUUGUUGGGAAAGAAAAGCAGCAGGUUAAUACCCCGCUGUUCUGACGGUACCCAAAGAAUAAGCACCGGCUAACUUCGUG
rnacentral:rRNA from 1 species